AAAAAAAAAAAAAAAAAAUCUGUCUGUGAUGAACUUUUAUAUACUCAUCUCCUGUCUCUUGGAUUUCAAUAACAUUAUUGCUAGAAAUCCAUAUGUUUUGUGUUAUUACCAUGUUUAGUUGUCUUAUAUAGGAUUUUUUUUUUCACCUCACCUACCCAAGCGCAUGCCUGCAUGUUAGGCCUGGGCUUACCACGUUGUGCCAUAAUGCGCCUUUGAUAACUGCUUGUGCGUGUAUCCAGUUGAGGUGAUAAGUAAUAGUGAUGUGGUCUUGCAUCAAUCACUUAGAGAUUAGAAUAUGUCAAUGAAGCUUUUGCUCUGUGCUUGACUCUGAAAAUUCUGUAGUCUCACUUGGGCAGGAAUUACAUAUGACAUAAAAGCCUUUGACUUCACUGAUAAUUUUUCUUUUUAAUAGUAUCUUUUACUUGUUAUAUAAGUUACUAGGUGUUCUAAGAUGAUAUCUGGUGAAUGGGGGAGGGAAAGGGCUUUGAAUUUAACUUUCCUUGCUUGUUUAAGGUAGCUGUUGGUAUUUGUAUUAUCUGGUUUUAUUGUUGUUUUCCUUCUUUGGAGUUGAUGCUUUAUAUGAGUACCCCAAAAAGCUUUGGAAUUGAAGUGCAUUAUUGUGCUUUUGUUCAACAUUAAGUUUGAAUCCCUGUCGUGGGCUGAAAUGAAAAUGUCCUUUACACUGGAGCAAGGAUGGUAGGUAAGAAUUGUUCCUUUUUGAAAGUUGAAACCAUCCUAUACACGUUUUUGCUUAUAGAGAACUUCAGCCAAAUUCCAUGAUAUGGACUUUAACUAAAGGACUGUAAGAUAAGAAGUUGACGAAUGUUGUAUGGUAAUGGGACAUCUAUCUCUGCAGCAUUUUCUGUUGUGUGAAUCGUCAUAUUUUUCUUCUUUAUUUGGAAGGUAUCGAGUGAUGACUUAAUUAAUGUAAUCUCUUCUUGGAGGAUCCUCUUUUGGUGGUGGGGGGAGGUUGGUCAGUUUAGUUGUUAAUUGGUUCAGUACCUAAUGUCUAGGAGACUAGGACUAUCAAUGAUUCAGGUUUAUUUGGCUUAAGUGCCUGCUGGCUCAGCCUGAUUGAAAAUUAGGAUCUUCAGCCCUAGCGUAGCUCAAAUUUCAUUAUCAGCUUUGGGUCAAGUUGGGGCUAGUCCACAUUUCCCAUUUCUUUUGUUCUUCCCCCCUUCCCUUCCUCCUUAAGCCUUUUUCCCCCUCUCUUUAAUUAAAUUGUCUUAGUUACGGCUAUUUGUUUAAGUACAAUAAAUUUGUGAAUCAUAAUCGUGCACUAAAGAAAUAGCACAAAUGAUGCCAUUUAUAUUAUUAAGUUAUGAGAAACAGAAGUAAAUUUUCCAUGACUUGGUCUAAAACUCUUGAAUGGAAUAAAUCAUUAAUGUGGAAUUUAAAAAAGUAGAUGUUAGUGUAUAUAUUGAAAAAUUUACUGAAUCAUUACAAAUAUCAGAAGAUAUAGUCUAGUAGUAAUAUAAAAUAGGAAUAUAUUAAAAGAGAACAUUGAAUAUAUACAGCUUAGUUUCUACAGAAUGCAUGGUUGGGUUGUGUAUUCUUUUCCAUAAACUGCUUAUGGCUGGUUUCUUUGCUUAUCCUUGAAAAGGUCAAAUAAAUGGUCUAUGAGAGUAUUUUUGCAUUUAUCUUUAUCUGCUUUUUCAAAAUAUUAUUUAUAAGGAAAAAAGUGAUGCAAGUUUGAUUCUAAUUUUUUGUCUAUGUUUUGCUUUCCACGUGAAGAUUUUCUUUCUGAUUCAGAGUAGGUGCUUUAUUAAUUAUUUGAUUCAUUUGUUUUUCUUCAGAGGAACUUUGUUGAAAGUAUGGCCGGAUAUUCUCUAGUGUGCUAUCUGCUACAGGUGAAGGAUAGGCACAACGGAAACCUGUUAUUGGAUGAAGAUGGUCACAUUAUACAUAUUGAUUUCGGAUUCAUGCUCUCCAAUUCACCUGGUGGUGUUAAUUUUGAGAGUGCACCCUUCAAAUUAACCCGAGAGCUUCUUGAGGUUAUGGAUUCUGACGCUGAGGGAGUUCCAAGCGAGUUCUUUGACUAUUUUAAAGUUUUAUGCAUUCAAGGCUUCCUAACGUGUCGUAAGCAUGCAGAGCGUAUUAUUCUUCUUGUCGAGAUGUUGCU
rnacentral:misc_RNA from 1 species